AAUUCGCCCUUAGAGUUUGAUCCUGGCUCAGAUUGAACGCUGGCGGCAUGCCUUACACAUGCAAGUCGAACGGCAGCAUGAUCUAGCUUGCUAGAUUGAUGGCGAGUGGCGAACGGGUGAGUAAUACAUCGGAACGUGCCCUGUAGUGGGGGAUAACUAGUCGAAAGAUUAGCUAAUACCGCAUACGACCUGAGGGUGAAAGUGGGGGACCGCAAGGCCUCAUGCUAUAGGAGCGGCCGAUGUCUGAUUAGCUAGUUGGUGAGGUAAAGGCUCACCAAGGCGACGAUCAGUAGCUGGUCUGAGAGGACGAUCAGCCACACUGGGACUGAGACACGGCCCAGACUCCUACGGGAGGCAGCAGUGGGGAAUUUUGGACAAUGGGCGAAAGCCUGAUCCAGCAAUGCCGCGUGUGUGAAGAAGGCCUUCGGGUUGUAAAGCACUUUUGUCCGGAAAGAAAUGGCUCUGGUUAAUACCUGGGGUCGAUGACGGUAC
rnacentral:rRNA from 1 species